AUUGAACGCUGGCGGCAGGCUUAACACAUGCAAGUCGAGCGGUAGCACAGGGGAGCUUGCUCCCUGGGUGACGAGCGGCGGACGGGUGAGUAAUGUGUGGGAAACUGCCUGAUGGAGGGGGAUAACUACUGGAAACGGUAGCUAAUACCGCAUAACGUCGCAAGACCAAAGAGGGGGACCUUCGGGCCGCUUGCCAUCAAAUGUGCCCAGAUGGGAUUAGCUAGUAGGUGGGGUAAUGGCUCACCUAGGCGACGAUCCCUAGCUGGUCUGAGAGGAUGACCAGCCACACUGGAACUGAGACACGGUCCAGACUCCUACGGGAGGCAGCAGUGGGGAAUAUUGCACAAUGGGCGCAAGCCUGAUGCAGCCAUGCCGCGUGUGUGAAGAAGGCCUUCGGGUUGUAAAGCACUUUCAGCGAGGAGGAAGGUGGUGAGCUUAAUACGUUCAUCAAUUGACGUUACUCGCAGAAGAAGCACCGGCUAACUACGUG
rnacentral:rRNA from 1 species